CCCAGAGGUCAUACAAGGUAUCACAUUCUGAGUUUAAUCUAUACUGCGUCUUGGAUGUGGCUCACAAGUUACUGUUUGGUAUAAAUGCACAAAAUCAGAGAUUUAGAACUGAUAAAGAAACGGAGGCAUCAUGAGAUUAAGUGAUUUCUUCAAAAUCAGCAUCAGUCAUGUCCUCCAAGUACUUUUGUUCUUCAUCCAAGUGAUCCAUCUAGCUGUGAGUUUGAUCCUGUUGAUAUUCAUCUAACCACGUACCAGAAUGAAGGUGAAGAAUAAACACUAAGGGGAGAGUGGAUGAGAUCUCUAACAGCUUUAAAAUACUAUGACAUUAAUGUCACAAGAUUAGUCAAAAAAUUCAAUUCAACUCAGAAAGGAUUAUUAAACAUCUACAGGACAUCAGAGGUCACAUUCCCUUGGGCUUCUGAUCUCUCUCCUCCACAUUGUAAAAGGGUGCUGGACAAAUGUUCCUGAAGAAACAAAGGGUCUCAGAAGAGGGUCUACCUCCAGGAAUGGUGUCAUUUCUUGAUGGGGUCUUUGGGGACACACUAGCAGCUCUCUCUACCAUUCCCUGAAGCUUACAAAGAACUGAGGGCUCUACCAGUAAGAAAGCUCAAUUUUGUAUCUAACCAUUCUCUGGUUUCUCCUUCCACUUGGCCCUGAGCAUGGUCUACAUAUGAAGUUUAUUCAUGAAAAACGUAUGGGCUUCCCAGGGGGCCCAACCUGUUCUACUGCAGUUCCCAGAAUCUGCACAGCCUGGCCUUGUCCUUGAAAAGUAGAACACACCUGCUGGGGCCUUCCAAGUGCACACGAACGAGGAAGACUAUUUAAAAUCAAGGGAGGAGGCA